rnacentral:ribozyme from 12 species
CCUUGGUAACCCAUCAUUCUUAUCUCUUCUGUUUUUCCUUGCUCAUUUCAAUCCAGCAUACCUAAUUUUUGAAAGCUAUAACAGAAAGGAUGCUACGUCAUUUUACGAAAGCUCAAUAUGCUCACGCUAUCACCGACCCAAGCGGAUUCGAACUUAUUUGGCUGGCGUAUCGUAUUUCUAUCUUUCAGAUGAACUGGAGAAAA